UUCUCCCUGUCCGUUCAAUUUCUUCUCAGGGCUAUCUCUUUGUUUUUGUCGAUGACUACGUCUGUCGCUUUGGUUCAGCCGCAACAGCAGCAGACUGAGAAUCUAACAGUGAUUGAUGAUGAGUCUCGUGGAGGUUUAUAAGAGCAACUUUCUAUUCAUGUACGAGCUUAUUUCUUCUCCAGUAGUGUUGAUUUGAGAAGCUUAAUUGAGCAUAACAAGCAGAACUUCAUCCCACCCACCUCGCAUAUGACUAACUAUGUUGUUCUUAAGUUCGACAAUCAUUCAGAUCACAGUGGUACUACUGCAUGGAUGUAUAAGUGGGAGUGGGUGUAUUUACAUGGUAGUAUAUCGAUUUCAAAUGUUAAGACAAUUAAUACCUAACAGUGACCAAAAGCGGGAUCUUUCUUAACAGAAAAUUCAGUCUCAUCAUUUCCUAAUCUCUAAAAUAUAUUCUUUAAAACUUUGUACAUGUUAUCGAGUAUAUUCAUUUCUUACCGGAGAAAGCAGACAAGUAUGAAACCUCUUACCAAGGAUGGAACCACGAACCUGCAAAGCUAUUGAAUUGGUUGGUACCUGUAGGAACCGUCGCUUUUACUCCAAAAUUGGAAGAAGAGAAGAACAACGUUCCGGUACUGGUAGUUGCAACAGCACAAGGCGUUAUUAUCAAUCUUCUGACACCCACAACAUUUGUCAGGACGAAGAUUGGUCAAGCACCAAGGCACAUAUGUUUCGCUAGAGAUAAACGACUGAUGCUGAGCUACGGUGGUGCAAGUAAGUAUCCAAUAUCGAACAAACAAGAUGUCUCAUAUGACCUGGUGGUAUAACGUAUUGUAAUUCUUACCAUUUUAAGCAAGAUUUUUAAUGUAUCCUCUCCUCUGUUUUCGUUUAACCUGGUGGUAUAACGUAUCGUAAUUCUUACCAUUUUAAGCAAUUAUUGUUAAACAUAUAUGUUUAUUUGCAUAUGUUUGAUCCAUUUUUUGCUUCAAAUA